rnacentral:rRNA from 1 species
UGUCGUAGCUUGCUAUGAUAAAAAUUAGUGGCAGACGGGUGAGUAAUGCAUAGGAAUCUACCUAGUAGUAUGGGAUAGCCACUAGAAAUGGUGGGUAAUACUGUAUAAUCCCUGCGGGGGAAAGAUUUAUCGCUAUUAGAUGAGCCUAUGUUAGAUUAGCUAGUUGGUAGGGUAAAGGCCUACCAAGGCAGUGAUCUAUAGCUGGUCUGAGAGGAUGAUCAGCCACACUGGAACUGAGAUACGGUCCAGACUCCUACGGGAGGCAGCAGUGGGGAAUAUUGGACAAUGGGCGCAAGCCUGAUCCAGCUAUGCCGCGUGAGUGAGGAAGGCCUUAGGGUUGUAAAACUCUUUCAGUGGGGAAGAUAAUGACGGUACCCACAGAAGAAGUCCCGGCAAACUCCGUGCCAGCAGCCGCGGUAAUACGGAGGGGGCAAGCGUUGUUCGGAAUUAUUGGGCGUAAAGGGCAUGUAGGCGGUUCGGUAAGUUAAAGGUGAAAUGCCAGGGCUUAACCCUG